rnacentral:rRNA from 1 species
GAUCGCGCCGACGCGGGCGGUCCGCCGCCCGCCACGUCGCGAGAAGUCCACUGAACCUUAUCAUUUAGAGGAAGGAGAAGUCGUAACAAGGUUUCCGUAGGUGAACCUGCGGAAGGAUCAUUGUCGAU